GUACUAUGAGAAAUGAAUGUGAUAAGGUAAAUUAAGUAUGCAUAUGGUGAAUUGUUAUGUAAGAUAGCUAUAUACAAGUUAUGUAUUCAUGAAAUUUUAGUAUGAAUAUGUGUAUGAUUUGGACGCAAGUUGAUUAUAUACUUGUCUAUACAUCAAUGAAAGUGUUUUGGUAUGAAAUGGCAUGAGAUUAGGUUAUAAAUUGAGAUUGUAUGAAAUAUAUGCAUUGGUUUGCAUUUGCUUAUUUUGGCUUGAAUUAUAGAAAUACUACUGAGCGGUAUUUGGUUAGCGUACGGUUUGUUUUCUCCAUGCGUGAGUAAAGUAGAUUCCCGAUAGAUUGAGUAGUUGAUCCAACAUUUCGGAGGCAAUCCCCCUAGUACAAAAUAUCAAGUUGGCAUAGUACAAAAUAUCAAGUCAAGUUGGAAUUUUUAUUGUAAUUAUCAAGUUGGCAUAAUAUAAAAUAUUAAGUUAAAAAUAUAUAAUUCCAACAAAUAAUAUUAGACAAAUAAUAAUAUAAGAAAACACAAACAUUCUACAAAACUAAUUUACGAAGAUAUUUAUAAUUUAUAUACGAAAAUAUAAAAUUCGACCAACAAAUACAGAUUAAAAUAUUUUUACAGCACCUCAAAAUAAAACAAACAUUUUAGACCAAUUUUUAUACGAAAAUAUAAAAUUCAAUCGACAAAUAAUACAGACUAAAAUUGAUUUACAGAUACAAAAAUAAUAUAAAUAUUUUGAAUAAUAGUUUCUCCACAGUUAGUCAUAUUCUGCUUGAAUCAGGCAUUGUUCGCCUGUCAUAUUCUUUAACCAUAACUGGUCUACACAGUUCACUAUCUAUGGUGGAAGAAGUCAUUUGACCCUUAAUGGUAUAACCUUUGUGGUUCAGGUGACAGUAUAUAAUUCAACCCAAAAAUUUGAUUGUAUACUCCCAAACACUACCAUUUGCAGCCCACUACAUCACACUUAUUUGAUGAUACACUACCAAAAUCAAUAUCUGCAUUUGAUAGUACACUCCCAAACACUCCCAUUUUGUGGUACGCUCAACAAUUUUUUUCUAAUCAACUACAAUAUCACACCCUAAAACCUUCCAUAUAUAUAGAUUAAAUGGGUGUCAACCAUCAGUGUUCUAGCAUCCAAUUUUUUUUUCAAAUCUGGUACAAAAACGCCAGCCACCAAUGUUCUAGCACCCAAUUUUUUUCUCAAAUUUGGUACAAGGAUGUCGGCCAUCAGGUCCAGAGAAAGCUAAAGCCGACCAUCUAGUACCCCCAACCUUAAAUUUUUUUGCCGACCAUCUAGUACCCCCAACCCUAAAUUUUUUUUCUAAAAAAGUAAGUGCCAGCCAUCGGUUGGCCAGUACCCAAAAAGAUUUUUUUUUAAUCUGUAAAUUUGGUGCUGGCCAUUAGGAUCCCUAAGCCCAUUUUUUUUUAAUUACUCUUGUAAAAUAUAUUAAUAUGGUACGAGUGGAAACAAGUAUGACGGUGCCUACCAUUUAGGUCUCACAGCCCUAAAAAACAUUUUUUAAACACUUGAGAAAAUUAUCAGGUGAUGAUUGACAUAAAAAUCUAGGUGGUGCCGGCCAUUUAAGUCUCCCACCCUAGUUUACAGUUCAUUUCAAAUUAUUUUGGUGAUUGUUUUUUAACUUAAAUCAUUUAUGUAAUUAUUUAUUUUUUGUGGCCAUUUUAGUCAAACAGAUGCAAGCGAAUUUUAUUCACGACUAGUGACAUGUGAAGUGUACUUUCUUCAGUGAAAAGAGUAUUCGAAGGAAAAGGGAAAAAAAAUUGAAACUUCAAUCAAUAGCUUCAGGACUAGGUUCAUAGUAAUGCUUAGGGAUUUUCAAGUAAUAGGAGACACUAUCGAUAGAGAAUAUUGGAUGAACAAAUUGUCGUAUUCCUAGUAAAGUUUUGCUUGGAAGCCUUCAAUCCUCUAAAUCGUAUUAUAGAACUUUUAAUCAAAUAAAAAAAUUAUCUAUCAAUAAUUAUAUAUAAAAUAAUAAUAAUUAUAUGACAACACCCAAUUUACAUGAAACUUCAGAUGUUAAAUUUUACUUCAAGAGCUACAUGUUUAGAUACAUUGAUCAAUAUAUCUACAUAGAGACAUUGAUAAAUAUAUCUACGGACAUUUGAAUGCAAGUUUUGAGACCAAAGUUCAAUGAAGUUAAAUGAAAUUUUUCGGCUGGAAGAAGAGAUCAAGGCAGAGGAGCCAUUGACUAUGAGGACGAAGAAAAAAUAGUCAUGAAGAGUUCAACAGUUUUCAAGUUAUUGAGAACUGUGAAUGUUCACCAAACUUGAGUUGAUCAAGUCAGACAAGAAGGUAACAACUCAUAAUAUAGUUAUUUUCCAUUACUUUGGUUGAUAGGUUUUCAAGGUUUAACUCAAAAUAUUUCCCAAGAUUGUUGCUGAUCUCGACUCCCAGUAUUUGCUUAAAAAUUAUCAUAAACAUUAGAGGGCAAUUUGGACUAAUAAAGAGAUUAGAUUUAUCCAAAUUUAAGUACUGACCAGAGAAAGCAAAUAAGAAAUGAUCCUGUCCUUGACAACUCUGCAUUCUUCCAAGUAUGCUGUGAAGAAAAGGAAGCUGUCAUCAAUAAAAAACGAGUGAGUUAUUGGACUACUCCAUCCGCUGACCUUGAAACCAUGUAAUUGUUUCACUUUCCUUAGGGCCAUGGAAUGGACAUUGUGGCAAAGUAUGAACAAAUAUGUUGAAAGGGAAUCCCCUGUUAGUUUCCUUUGUCACAAGCUACCAAAACAAAGUUUGUUCCAUUUUAAGACAGCUCUCUUACAUAGUUUAAUCUUAGAACAGACCUGAAAUGCCGGUGACCAAGCCUGCAUCAGUUUUGUCUUAUGACCUAUCUUGCAAUCAGGGUGCUGCAGCCAUAUGGCUUCGAAUCUGUAUGAUCUGAUUCCAAGGGGAGAUUCAAUACUUGAAUAACCUCAAUCUCAAUCAAAUCACUAAUGUUUAAACAAUG
rnacentral:lncRNA from 1 species